rnacentral:misc_RNA from 1 species
AUGGAGGACGGUCAUCAAAAAACCGUCGAGGAGGCAUUAAACUUUUUCGGAACAGAUCACGAACGGGGUCUUUCAAUUGAUCAGGUUAAAAAGAAUCAAGCAAAAUACGGACCUAAUGAGCUUCCAACCGAAGAAGGAAAGUCCAUUUGGCAAUUAGUCUUAGAACAAUUUGAUGAUCUGCUUGUUAAGAUCUUGCUGUUAGCCGCUAUUAUAUCUUUUGUAUUAGCUCUUUUUGAAGAGCAUGAAGAUACAUUUACAGCGUUCGUAGAACCUUUAGUUAUUUUACUUAUUUUGAUUGCAAAUGCAGUUGUAGGUGUGUGGCAGGAAAGAAAUGCCGAAUCAGCUAUUGAAGCACUUAAAGAAUAUGAACCCGAAAUGGGUAAAGUCAUACGAGGUGACAAAUCCGGUGUACAAAAAGUUCGGGCGAAAGAAAUUGUACCCGGUGAUCUAGUUGAAGUGUCAGUCGGUGAUAAGAUUCCAGCUGAUAUCAGAUUAACAAAAAUCUAUUCCACCACAUUGAGAAUUGAUCAGUCCAUCUUGACCGGUGAAUCUGUUUCUGUGAUAAAACAUACAGAUCCUAUUCCCGAUCCACGUGCUGUGAAUCAAGACAAAAAGAAUAUUCUAUUCUCAGGUACAAAUGUAGCUGCUGGUAAGGCACGUGGUGUUGUUAUUGGCACCGGUUUGAAUACUGCCAUUGGUAAGAUCCGUACUGAAAUGUCAGAAACAGAAGAAAUUAAGACACCAUUGCAACAAAAACUUGAUGAAUUCGGUGAACAAUUGUCAAAAGUUAUUUCGAUUAUUUGCGUCGCUGUAUGGGCCAUUAAUAUUGGUCACUUCAAUGAUCCAGCUCACGGUGGCUCCUGGAUUAAAGGUGCUAUCUACUAUUUCAAGAUCGCUGUCGCGUUGGCUGUAGCUGCUAUCCCAGAAGGUCUACCAGCUGUCAUUACCACUUGUCUCGCCUUAGGUACACGCCGUAUGGCCAAGAAGAACGCUAUUGUACGUUCACUGCCGUCCGUCGAAACUCUCGGUUGUACCUCGGUCAUCUGCUCUGAUAAGACAGGAACGUUGACUACAAAUCAAAUGUCCGUUUCACGUAUGUUUGUCUUCGAUAAGAUUGAAGGUAGCGAUAGCAGCUUCCUUGAAUUCGAAAUGACCGGCUCAACCUAUGAACCAAUUGGUGAAGUUUUCUUGAACGGUUCAAAAGUUAAAGCAUCCGAUUUCGAAGUUAUGCAAGAAAUUGGCACCAUCUGCGUUAUGUGCAAUGACUCUGCAAUCGAUUUUAAUGAAUUUAAACAGGCCUUUGAAAAAGUCGGUGAAGCUACCGAGACUGCACUCAUUGUACUUGCUGAGAAAUUGAACCCGUUCAAUGUACCCAAGACUGGAUUGGAUAGGCGAUCAACAGCUAUUGUAGUACGACAAGAAAUUGAAACCAAAUGGAAGAAAGAAUUCACCUUGGAAUUCAGCAGAGAUCGUAAAUCCAUGUCUUCAUAUUGUUCCCCAACCAAACCUUCACGUCUUGGAAAUGGACCGAAAUUGUUCGUCAAGGGCGCUCCAGAAGGUGUAUUGGAACGUUGUACACACGCCCGUGUCGGAACCUCAAAGGUCCCAUUGACCAACACCUUGAAGAAUCGUAUCUUGGAUCUCACUCGUCAAUACGGUACCGGUCGUGAUACUCUCCGUUGCUUGGCUCUUGCCACCGGUGAUAAUCCAAUGAAACCUGAAGAUAUGGACUUGGGAGACUCAACCAAAUUCUACACAUAUGAAAUCAACCUAACCUUCAUCGGUGUCGUCGGUAUGUUGGAUCCCCCACGUAAGGAAGUCUUUGACUCAAUUGUUCGCUGCCGUGCAGCUGGUAUUCGUGUAAUUGUAAUCACUGGUGAUAACAAGGCUACCGCCGAAGCCAUUUGCCGACGUAUUGGUGUAUUCGGAGAGGAUGAAGAUACUACUGGCAAAUCAUUCUCUGGACGUGAAUUCGAUGAUCUAUCACCCGGCGAACAGAAGGUUGCUUGCGCCCGUGCCCGUCUCUUCUCACGCGUCGAACCUGCUCACAAAUCAAAGAUUGUUGAAUAUUUGCAAAGCAUGAAUGAAAUCUCAGCUAUGACUGGUGAUGGUGUCAACGAUGCGCCUGCAUUGAAAAAGGCUGAAAUUGGUAUUGCUAUGGGUUCGGGUACUGCUGUCGCCAAAUCUGCAUCAGAGAUGGUGUUGGCUGAUGAUAACUUCUCAUCAAUUGUAUCCGCUGUUGAAGAAGGUCGCGCUAUUUACAACAACAUGAAACAAUUCAUCCGUUAUUUGAUUUCAUCCAAUAUUGGUGAAGUCGUAUCUAUUUUCUUGACUGCUGCCCUUGGUCUUCCAGAAGCUUUGAUUCCAGUACAACUGUUGUGGGUCAACUUGGUCACUGACGGUUUGCCAGCUACAGCUUUAGGUUUCAAUCCACCAGAUUUAGAUAUCAUGCAAAAACCACCACGUAAGUCUGAUGAAGGUUUGAUCUCAGGCUGGUUGUUCUUCCGUUAUUUGGCUAUCGGUGGUUAUGUCGGCGCUGCUACAGUCGGUGCAGCUGCCUGGUGGUUCUUGUUCUGCGAGACUGGCCCACAAAUGUCAUACUGGCAACUUACCCAUCACUUGUCGUGCUUGCCUGGUAACGAGGACUUCAAGGGUGUCGACUGCAAACUUUUCAAUGAUCCACAUCCAAUGACAAUGGCUCUUUCUGUACUGGUAACAAUUGAAAUGUUGAACGCAAUGAACAGCUUAUCAGAAAAUCAGUCGUUGAUUACGAUGCCACCAUGGUCAAAUAUGUGGCUUAUUGGUUCCAUGGCUCUCUCCUUCACACUUCAUUUCGUCAUUCUCCAUGUAGAAGUCCUCGCGACUGUCUUCCAAGUGACACCGCUUUCAGUUGACGAAUGGAUGACGGUUAUGAAGUUCUCAAUUCCUGUUGUGCUACUCGACGAGACGCUCAAAUUCGUCGCCCGAAAGAUCGCAGAUGUCAACCCAAAUUUCCACUAGAUGUGCAUAUCAUCCUGCGAUAAUUCUUUUAUGAAUAGUGAAUGUAGAUUUCAUCGUCAUAGUUUUUGUAAAAUUUAAUGGAUUCAUAUAAAAAUAGAAAACCUGAAACCAAGCCUGCCUUGCAUAUAUUGAUGCCGCCGAGGAAUGAACGUUUGGAUUUUACCCCUGUCCUGCGAACCAAUAUCACCAUCCAACUAAGCAGCAAUCAGUAACCUACCCGAUGCUGUUGACACCAGCAAAUGGUAGAUUCUACAAUGAAUGGAUGUGUGGGCGGCGCCAACCGUUAAUUAUUUUGCUCCCAUCGAAUAGUACACCUUAAAAGCUACAAUUACUACUUUAAAAAAUACCAAAAAUAAUAAUAAAUUAGCAGAAAGUAUAAUAUAAUGGAAAGUAAAGAAAGAAGGCAGCACAAAAACUUCUAUGUAAGAGUAUUAUAACUUUUUUUUUUUAAUUUUCGGUUUUAUUGGAUUUCUAGUGGUAUUCUUUUUUAAUAUAAUAAAAAGAUGAGACAUAGAUAACAUAUAUUUAUCCAAUAGACUCUUCUGUGUAUUCUGUUUUUACUUAAAAUGAAAAAAAGAUAUCUACAUAUACGUUUUGUAUUUGUUUAAUUUUGUUUGUUUCAUUUGUGCCUCAGUCCUCAAAUAAUUUUCAAUGUUAUUAGUUUGUAUCUAGUCUUCGAUUAUAUACCAUUAUGAUGGCUAUUAUCAAAUCAAUUUCAUGUAUGUAUUUAUUUUUAUAAUAUAAUUUUAUUUAAAUAUUUUAGUUAUAUUCACUCUAAUUUAAACAGAAAACAUAUUUAAUUUACUGUGUAAAUAAAGGUUACUUACACUACCUUGAAAGAUAAAACCAAAAAAAAAAAUAAACAAAAACUAGACAAAAGAAAGGUAUAUGAUAAUUAUCAAAUCCUAAAAAAUAAAAAUCCAUAUCUAGAGGCAAAAACUACAUUAAAACAACUGCAUACUAUAUGAUACUUUACGGAUUGAUUCCUAAAAAUAACAGUGAAAGCUACUACUACCGUAACUAUAACAAGACACUGUCGAUCUUUUCUUUCAGAGAAAGUUUGAAAAUGCAAAAAGUAAACUAGAUCUAUUGUUUCAUAAUUUUACUUGUUGGCCCGUUUGUGUUUAUUGCGAUUUUAUUGUUUCUCGAAACUAUAAAUAAAAAAAAUUAUUUUAAAUUUUAAGUAAAAGAGAGAAAAUUUUAAACGAAUAAUAAAUAAAAAAUAU